rnacentral:rRNA from 1 species
AGUGAACGCUGGCGGUAGGCCUAACACAUGCAAGUCGAACGGCAGCACAGUAAGAGCUUGCUCUUACGGGUGGCGAGUGGCGGACGGGUGAGGAAUACAUCGGAAUCUACUUUUUCGUGGGGGAUAACGUAGGGAAACUUACUCUAAUACCGCAUACGACCUACGGGUGAAAGCAGGGGAUCUUCGGACCUUGCGCGAUUGGAUGAGCCGAUGUCGGAUUAGCUAGUUGGCGGGGUAAAGGCCCACCAAGGCGACGAUCCGUAGCUGGUCUGAGAGGAUGAUCAGCCACACUGGAACUGAGACACGGUCCAGACUCCUACGGGAGGCAGCAGUGGGGAAUAUUGGACAAUGGGCGCAAGCCUGAUCCAGCCAUACCGCGUGGGUGAAGAAGGCCUUCGGGUUGUAAAGCCCUUUUGUUGGGAAAGAAAAGCAGCAGGUUAAUACCCCGCUGUUCUGACGGUACCCAAAGAAUAAGCACCGGCUAACCUCGUG